CUUGGUCAUUUAGAGGAAGUAAAAGUCGUAACAAGGUCUCCGUUGGUGAACCAGCGGAGGGAUCAUUACAGAGUUGAAAAACUCCCUAACCCUUUGUUUAUAUACCUGUUCAGUUGCUUCGGCAGGCGGCCCCAGGGCGGGGCCUCCAGCCUGCUCACGCAGAUGCCUGCCGCUGGCGCAAAAAACUCUGUUAUAUGUUACCACUCUGAGUCUAAAAAAAAUGAAUCAAAACUUUCAACAACGGAUCUCUUGGUUCUGGCAACGAUGAAGAACGCAGCGAAAUGCGAUAAGUAAUGUGAAUUGCAGAAUUCAGUGAAUCAUCGAAUCUUUGAACGCACAUUGCGCCCAUUAGUAUUCUAGUGGGCAUGCCUGUUCGAGCGUCAUUACAACCCUCAAGCGCUGUAGUGCUUGGUGUUGGGGCAUCUGCUGCUUAUGGCAGGCCCUGAAAGAUAGUGGCGAGCUCGCCGUGACCCUGAGCGUAGUAGUUUACACCUCGCUUCUGUGGUUCAUAGCGGGUCUUCAGCCGUGAAAACCCCCUAAUUUUCACAAGGUUGACCUCGGAUCAGGUAGGAAUACCCGCUGAACUUAAGCAUAUCAAUAAGCGGAGGA
rnacentral:rRNA from 1 species